AGGCAGAAAGUGACUUUUUGGCGCUUGUGGAUUGAAGACAACAACUCCCACCAUGCACCCCGAUGCACAGCUUCGCAGGCCACUCCCACUGAUCUAGAUCUCCGCCUAUCAGAGACCUCGCGGUUCCAUCUACCAAGCUGAUCAAUUAACACAACAUUUCUAGUGAACUUGCAUGGUGCCGGGAUGUUCAAGUAGGACAAUGAAAGGACAAGCAGUACGUUUUCAUCUCCUAUCUAGAGAUUUAGUGCGUUGCUAACGGUGGCUACGGGCUAUCAAUCAUCCAAAGUUUGGAGUAGACACAGCCAUGGAAGCCGUAAAACAAAAGAGGGUUUGCAGUCUCCAUUUCAAGGAGAAUCCGGAAGACUUUGAAUUCAAUGUCCUGGGAAUGAAGAGAGCCGCUCUUUUGAACACCGCAAUUCCGUCGAUAUUUACCUUUCCAUAUGACGACGAACCGCCUGGGAUGUCUGCAACUAGCAGCGCUAAACGCGUUUGCCUGGAGGCCUCAAUAUCAGUGCCAGUAGCAUUGAAGUUGGUGAAACCGACCAGAGCUAUCAGCCUGAGUCAACCCUCACCCCCACAUCUGUGUUGUCAUCAGAAGAUGAAGGUGUAAAGGACUGGCGUGAAAAGAAGAUUAUUGUCAAUGGAUCCAGCCUCAUGUAACUAUUCCAAUUCAAACAUACUGGGCCACUUGAGAUCUUUCAUAGUGCCCUCCUGAAAUACCUCCCCAAACGCCAGGCCUUCUCAUAUGAUGGAAUGAGGGAGAGGUGCUACCUCGCUAUCCUAAAGCACAAUGAAAACAUUGUGAGAAACAAGCCACCAGUGACAGGUGUGUUAACAUGUGCUCUUUGAAUAGUAUAAUAACCAAAAUUAGAAAGUUCACAGCUAACUCGAUAGGCAUACGUCGCUGAAAGGUUUAAUCUAUUCCUGGGGAGAGAAUUCUACUAGACAAAUCUUCAUUCAGAUUUUCUGUGUUAUCAUAUUCCUUGUCAUUUACAGGAGAACCAUGGUUCUCCUGUAAUGACAGCCCUGAGAAGAUGCAUUUUUCAGUUUGUGGGGAGCGCAGCAGGAGAGAAUUCGACGAGACAUACAGGCCAUUACAGAAAGGGGGUAAAAUGUCCCUGAUCUAGCAGAGAAAAUGGAAGCUCUAUUUCUGACGCCCAUAUUGCAGGCAGUACUAAACGAAAAUAAGAGGAGCCUAUGGCCAAAUUUCACCAUGUUCUGGGUAGGCCAUCAAGUCCUAACUGUGCGUUCACACCAAACGCGAAAUUUGUCGCCCGUUCGCGUUGUCGCCAAAGUUUUGUCGUGCCACAAAUCAUAAUCUGUCUCUGUGCAAGUUUUGUCAAAUUUGUCGCGCCACAACUUGACUCCAGGUGCUUCAUUCACAACCAUGGCCGAAAUAACGAGCAUUGCAUGUCUUUACCUUUUGUGGAAGAGGGAGAGACGUCAAAAGGCCCAUCGUUAGCCGUACAGAGCUCGGCGAAUUUCACCGUCUUCUACAGGAGCUCCGUCUGGAUGACGACCGCUUCCAGCGCUAUUUGAGGUUGACUCCGGCCCAGUUUGAUGACCUGCUAGGUAGGAUCGGUGCUAGGAUUUAUCGGCUCGACACCAACUACAGGCGCUCCAUCUCAGCUACGGAGCGCCUGUCCAUCUGUCUCCGGUGAGUGGUAGUUUCAUAAUUCGUGUGUCAAAAUCGAAACAUAAACGUAAUAAUUUACUUCAGGUUCAACCAGCAGGCGUCUCCAUGGUAGACAGCUCCAUUUAGUGGACAUAGCAGAUUACAGUUUGAAAUGAUUGAUUAUCCUCUGCCGACAAUAGUAUAGUAGGCUAUGUAGUCAAAUACAAUAAGUAGAUCCAUUAUUUUGAUCAAAUAUGACUCCUGCCAUUUGUAAAUGUUUUUUAUU